UUUUUAGUCCUUUGUCCAACACAUUUAGUAGAAAGAAGUAGUUUCAAAAUCAAUUUUUUCCCCCUUUUCCAAUUAGUAUAGGGUUUACUGUUUCUACAAAUUCAAUACGAAAAUCCAUAUACACAUCGAAAAUUAACAAUGGAGAAUGGUGAUGGAACAAAUGGGAAAAGGAUAAGGGCUGAAGAUGUAAUAUGUAAGCUCAAGGACGAUGGCGAUUUCGAUAAACUUCGCCUCAAAAUUGUUCGCAGAAUGAAAGAAAAUGUAGAGUUGCGAAAUAGCUUAAGAGCUACAGUGAAAGAAUCAGCAGCACUUAACCGUCCAGGUGCAGAAAAUAUGAAACUGAGGCAACUGUCCGAUGCUAUAUAUCAAGAAGUUGGGGACAAAGUCAUGAGUAAAAUUUCAGAUGAUUUGUGGAAUACAAUCAGAACCGGUGAUGGCAUUCAAACGGAGAUAACCGAAACGGUUCAAUCAGUUUACAAUAAAUUAUUGAACCCACAGCUAAAUGAAGCUGGUGAAUCGGCCUUCCAUUCAGACUUGCAGCCAGCUCAGAAUGGAGUUGAAAGUAAUGGACAUCUUGCUGUUUCUGACAGUGGUAUUGAUGCCACAUUUUCUGCUGAUGCGGAACCAAGUGAACCUCCUGGUUUUACCCGAUUAAGUUCAAAUCAGAACGGCAAAAGUGACCAUAAGGAAUCACCGAAAGAAGUGUCGGGAAUUCCUGUUCCUUCUGAUGGAAAAGCAAAAGAAACAUAUACCCAGUCAGAGAACAACUGCUCACUUGACCCUUUGGUACCCGACAGUGUGGAUGUUGGUGCGCCACCUGGCUUUGCUAUAGGCACAAAAGAGAAGAAUCCAGAUGAUGUUAAUGAUGAAGAUCCUGAAGUGCCUCCAGGAUUUGGCUGAUGGCUUAUUAAGUUGUUCAUAUAGUUCUGUUUAUAUUUUUGGGAAAGGUUAGCCAUAUUUGGUUGGUCAUUGUCGUAUCAAGUUCUAGAAGCUUGUGUUUGUACUUGCAGAGAGUACUUUAUUUUCACUGCGCCGACUAGCAGCUCAUGACCUCUCUUUCUUCAAUUUCCCGAGGUUAGAAGUCUUAACUAUGUCGCUUGUGCAUGAUCUUGGAUUACAGAUUAGUACUAUCAAAACUCAGAGGCUUCAAAUAUGAACAUUGCUGAUGACAAGAUGUCUUGUUGUAAGAUGUAGACUAAACUAAGUUAAUUUUGUUGGUUCUUUAGAUGUUAACCGCAAUAUUUCUUCCUAACCUGUUCAAGUUGGAUUUUUUUUCUCCCUUGUGCUUUGUCUUUUAAAUGUUUUUCUUUAGCUGAACAAGUUCCUAGAUAACAAGCCUAAAGGUUUUUUAUUGAUGAGAUUGAUAUUGAUGAUAGUGACAAUCUUGAUGCUAGUGAUGAUAUCAAUCGUGACCUUGAUACGGAGCUGGAACUGCUAACUAGGAUGAAUGGGUUUGUUUUUCCUAAAUUUUUAGGAGUUGAUGCUGUGGAUUGGACAAAGGAAAAUUAGUUGGUCAUGCCAUAUGGCAAGAAGGUAUGCAACACACUAACUUCAGGUGCAAGAAGUGUUAUUUAUUGGUUUUAUUAAGUUCCAAGCAUGUUUCUUUUGGAUUCAAAAUUUAGAUUUGUUUGCCUAAAUACUCUUGUAAUACGAUUCAGAAUUUGUUUGCCUAAACAUUCCUGUAACAUGAAUUGGAAUUCAGGUUUGUUUGUCCAAACACUCUUGUAAUAUGUUUCGGAAUUUAGGUUUGUUUGCCUAAACAGUCUUGUAAUAGUAUUCAAAGUUUUGAUUUGUUUGUCGAAACACUGGUGUAAUAUGAUUCAGUUGCGAAUGCAUUUUUUUUUUAUUGAA